rnacentral:rRNA from 1 species
AUUGAACGCUGGCGGCAUGCCUUACACAUGCAAGUCGAACGGCAGCACGGGAGCAAUCCUGGUGGCGAGUGGCGAACGGGUGAGUAAUACAUCGGAACGUGCCCAGUAGUGGGGGAUAGCCCGGCGAAAGCCGGAUUAAUACCGCAUGAGACCUGAGGGUGAAAGCGGGGGAUCGCAAGACCUCGCGCUAUUGGAGCGGCCGAUGUCAGAUUAGCUAGUUGGUAGGGUAAAGGCCUACAAAGGCAACGAUCUGUAGUUGGUCUGAGAGGACGACCAGCCACACGGGGACUGAGACACGGCCCAGACUCCUACGGGAGGCAGCAGUGGGGAAUUGUGGACAAUGGGCGCAAGCCUAAUCCAGCAAUGCCGCGUGCAGGAAGAAGGCCUUCGGGUUGUAAACUGCUUUUGUCAGGGAAGAAAUCUUCUGGGCUAAUACCCUGGGAGGAUGACGGUACCUGAAGAAUAAGCACCGGCUAACUACGUGCCAGCCGCCGCCGUAAAAC